UUCCUACAACAAAUUAAAUAUCAUUUCAACAGAAUAUGCCAAAAUGUUGACUUUAGAGAAAUUACAUACAUUUAAUAGUUUAACAUAGCUAAAAAAGAAAUAAAUAAAUGAGAUUGCCUCCUACAGUUUAAAAAAAUAAAAAUAGGAAACCACAGUAUACCAUAUUUAUGGAAAGUGUCCCAUCUGUCCCUUAGGGGAAUGACCCUUACCCAUGGCCAAUAGUGUCCACAUACCCUCUGCCUAAGUAUUAUAUCCUCGACGUGCCCAAGACUCUCCGCACUAAACAGGAGUCAGAGAUCAGUGCUUUCUUGGCAUCAUCUAAGGAAACAGAGAGAGAUGCUAGCUGGAUGGAUGACUGCAGAAGACAGUUCUGCAAGAUCAUGGCUACAAACACUCUCACUGGAUAUGUACUUGCUGAUCUUUUGGAGAGGGUCGUGCUGCAUCUCUCAUCUUCAUCCACUGACUGCUUCUUUCCACCGGCAGAAUAUAAAGGUCAGUCAACAGCACUUUAAUGAAAGGAUUUUUUUUAUUCAUGAGACCAACUUGCAAACAGCUAACAGAGAUAUCAUUCACUUCUGAGGGCUAAUAUGAAAUAAUAAUAAUAAAAAGCACACGGGUAUAUAUGAAUAUACUUUUGUGUGUCAUAAUCCUGCUUCUUAUAACUAUACAUUAAACAUGACAUUUUUUCUGAUUGGAUGUGAUUGUGAUAGAAACAUUUCUGCGUGAAACUUUCUGCAUCCCACCUGGUUAGUUCACAAUGGUAUGCUCCUUGUAAAAAUGCAAACAGAAUCAUUUAUAAAAUGGGCGAAUAGUUGAGACUCUGUGGGGUAUUCAUUAUUAAACAUAUAUGGUUCUCAGAAAUAAUAUUGAUCAUGCUCUUUUGUUUAAAUCCCAGCUGCAAAGAAUAUCUGCUGGCUUGAGCUUGAGUAAUGUGACCACUUUAAAAGAAAGAUUUGACAAAAUUCACCCUCGUCUCAACAUAUUAUUGUUGCAAUGUAUGAUUAUUUUGCUUUGUAUUUUAAAAUGAAUCCAUUUAAAUCCAUCAAACAUCUUUCAAAACAUAAGAUUUUCUUUUUAAUGUCAGAGAGUUAAAGUUUUCAUACUUUAAAAGACCUUGAUAAGUCAUUUUUAAGGAUGGUGAGGGUCAGGGGUCAGUUAGCUCUGGAGAUUAUUAGUGGUUUGGGUUCUGGCAAGCUCAUGAUUAAUUUGAUGACAAGCAUCUCCUUUAAUUUAUGAAGUUGGAGACUAUGCUUUAGUACUUUUUUAAAUACUUUUUUAUUAAUAUUGAUUAAAUAUUGAUUUCACUGUAGAAAGAAGACAUAAAGUGCAGCUUCUGGGUAAAGGUUUGAAUGAUAGAUUAAUUGGUGAGAAUUUGCAAAAAUUAAUCAGACUUCUGAAUGCUUCCCAAACUUCCCAAAUAGGAUAUAUGUAUGGAUGCCUGACAUGGAAAGUAUUAUGGUGUCAUGUUACUGUAGCAUUUGUGUCCUCCCUUCAUCUGCCUCUGGGUCUGUAUCCUGCCCUCUUAUUUAGCGGAGGAGCAGGGGCGGGUUGUCACACUUCAUUUCACUUCAUGUCAUAAUUGCUGACUGACGUGAGCACCAGGACGUAUGAUUUCUCAUUCUGCCUAAACCCUUCUUUACAGUUGGUUGAUUUGCCAGCCAGUCAAGUCCAGUCACUUCACAAGGUGCACAUCUAUCUGCAUUAUGUCAUCAUUACAAUCCUGACAUUGUUGUUAUAUUAAUGAGGAUGGAGGAAUGGCCCCAUAAUUAUAUCAGUGGGCCCAUUUCCGUCUCACCAAGGGCAUUCACUCAAUUAAGGCCAUUCUUAAGCAUGAUGAAUGUAGAUUACGCAGCUGAUGUUGAUU
rnacentral:lncRNA from 1 species